GCUCCGGUGGCCUAGUGGUUAAAGUGUCCACCUUAAAUGCGGGAGGUAUUGGGUUCGAUCCCAGGUUGAGUCA